rnacentral:rRNA from 1 species
GGANUGCCAUGGGCGAAAGCCUGACGCAGCGACGCCGCGUGAGUGAUGAAGGCCUUCGGGUUGUAAAGCUCUGUGGGGAGAGACGAAUAAGUGCAGGCUAAUACUCCGCAUGAUGACGGUAUCUCCUUAGCAAGCACCGGCUAACUCUGUGCCAGCAGCCGCGGUAAGACAGAGGGUGCAAACGUUGUUCGGAAUUACUGGGCGUAAAGCGAGUGUAGGCGGUUUGGUAAGUCGGGUGUGAAAGCCCUGGGCUCAACCCAGGAAGUGCACUCGAAACUACCAAGCUAGAGUAUCGGAGAGGUUGGUGGAAUUCUCGGUGUAGAGGUGAAAUUCGUAGAUAUCGAGAGGAACACCGGUGGCGAAGGCGGCCAACUGGACGAAUACUGACGCUGAGACUCGAAAGCGUGGGGAGCAAACAGGAUUAGAUACCCUGGUAGUCCACGCCGUAAACGAUGGGUGCUAGGUGUCGCGGGCUUUGACUCCUGCGGUGCCGUAGCUAACGCAUUAAGCACCCCGCCUGGGAAGUACGGCCGCAAGGCUAAAACUCAAAGAAAUUGACGGA